UACGUAGGAGGCAAGCGUUGUCCGGAAUCACUGGGCGUAAAGGGCGCGUAGGUGGCGUCGUAAGUCUGUGGUGAAAGCCCGGAGCUCAACUCCGGGUCUGCCGCGGAUACUGCGAGGCUUGAGUGCUGUAGAGGGGGGUAGAAUGCCGGGUGUAGCGGUGGAAUGCGUAGAGAUCCGGCAGAAGACCGGUGGCGAAGGCGGCCCCCUGGGCAGUAACUGACGCUGAGGCACGAAAGCGUGGGUAGCAAACAGG
rnacentral:rRNA from 1 species